ensembl:rRNA 5S_rRNA 5S ribosomal RNA
AACUGCAGUCAUAUCACUCUGAACGUGCCCAAUCUUGCCUGAUCUCAGAAGCUAAGCAGGGUCAGUCAGGCCUGGUUAAUACUUGGAUGGGAGACCACCUAGGAAUACCCCGUGCUGUAGGCU